rnacentral:rRNA from 1 species
GCUCCAAUAGCGUAUAUUAAUGUUGUUGCAGUUAAAAAGCUCGUAGUUGAAUUUCUGGACUCAUCUUUCGGUCCGAGGCCUUGUGCUUUGCGUACUGUUCUCGAUGGGUUCAUCUUAGUAGGGACCAUUCUGGUAUUAAGUUAUUGGGGUGUGGAACUGCUUCGUUUACUGUGAAUAAAAUAGAGUGUUUAAAGCAGGCA